CCUACGGGUGGCAGCAGUGAGGAAUAUUGGUCAAUGGACGCAAGUCUGAACCAGCCAUGCCGCGUGCAGGAAGACGGCUCUAUGAGUUGUAAACUGCUUUUGUACGAGGGUAAAUCCCGAUACGUGUAUCGGGUUGUAAGUAUCGUACGAAUAAGGAUCGGCUAACUCCGUGCCAGCAGCCGCGGUAAUACGGAGGAUUCAAGCGUUAUCCGGAUUUAUUGGGUUUAAAGGGUGCGUAGGCGUGUCGGUAAGUUAGAGGUGAAAUCACGGGGCUCAACACCGGCACUGCAUUUGAUAAUGUCGGGCUAGAGGUUAGUGGAGGUAGGCGGAAUGUAUGGGGGAGCGGUGAAAUGCAUAGAGA
rnacentral:rRNA from 1 species